ensembl:lncRNA
CAAAAGCGAAGUCCUCUUCUCUCCAGAGAGCAUUUCGCAUCUCCCGGUUCUCAUGAGACAAACUUGUCUGCUAACUCCAGGCUUUGUUUCUUCACUGCUGCCAGCCAGCAUGGUAGGCUCUCAACAACUGCCCAGCUCACCCUGGCCCCCUGGGUGGGGAGAUCACCAUCAGCUCCACUCCAGGGCAGCCUGAAGCUCAGAGGGGUCGGCCCCUUGCCAGGAAACGGCAGAGCAGGUAACACCAAAGAUCCAGGUAAAGCAGAAAGAAGCCAAGCACCGGGAGCUUCAGCCAAGGAGAGCCUUUCUUCACGUGCACACACGCUGACUCUUCUGUCUCUUUCCCACGCACCCAGAUAUUUCUUACCCAAAAAGUGCAUCACCCCGACACGGAGCUCCGGGACCUGCCGGGACUGUCCCCACACACCUUGAGAUGCUGGGUCUCCUUCCUUCCGUGUCACUGAAGGUUCUUUUACAAUGUAAUCUGAGCAGCUGCAUAUGCCCUCUGGGUGUGGCCAGGGGGUGAUUCAGGCUGGCUGAGCACUGUAGGUUGGAUUUAUUAGAGCAAAGUGAGUUUUCCAGAGUUUCUCAUCCCUUGUGGAAAAUUGAAACUUCAAAGCCCUCGGCUCUGUGAUGAGAAGGGAGUUUUGACAAAUCCACAUUUGGACACACACCUCCUGG